rnacentral:rRNA from 1 species
AUUGAACGCUGGCGGCAGGCUUAACACAUGCAAGUCGAGCGGGGAAGAGUAGCUUGCUACAUUACCUAGCGGCGGACGGGUGAGUAAUGCUUAGGAAUCUGCCUAUUAGUGGGGGACAACAUCUCGAAAGGGAUGCUAAUACCGCAUACGUCCUACGGGAGAAAGCAGGGGACCUUCGGGCCUUGCGCUAAUAGAUGAGCCUAAGUCGGAUUAGCUAGUUGGUGAGGUAAUGGCUCACCAAGGCAACGACGGGUAGCCGGCCUGAGAGGGCGACCGGCCACACUGGGACUGAGACACGGCCCAGACUCCUACGGGAGGCAGCAGUGGGGAAUAUUGGGCAAUGGAGGAAACUCUGACCCAGCGACGCCGCGUGCGGGAUGAAGGCCUUCGGGUUGUAAACCGCUUUCAGUAGGGAAGAAGCGAAAGUGACGGUACCUACAAAAGAAGCACCGGCUAACUAUGUGCCAGCAGCCGCGGUAAUACAUAGGGUGCAAGCGUUGUCCGGAAUUAUUGGGCGUAAAGAGCUCGUAGGUCGUUUGUUACGUCGGAUGUGAAAACCUGAGGCUCAACCUCAGGCCUGCAUUCGAUACGGGCAAACUAGAGUUUGGUAGGGGAGACUGGAAUUCCUGGUGUAGCGGUGGAAUGCGCAGAUAUCAGGAGGAACACCAAUGGCGAAGGCAGGUCUCUGGGCCAAUACUGACACUGAGGAGCGAAAGUCUGGGGAGCGAACAGGAUUAGAUACCCUGGUAGUCCAGACCGUAAACGGUGGGCACUAGUUGUGGGAACCUUCCACGGUUUCUGCGACGCAGCUAACGCAUUGAGUGCCCCGCCUGGGGAGUACGAUCGCAAGAUUAAAACUCAAAGGAAUUGACGGGGCCCCGCACAAGCAGCGGAGCAUGCGGCUUAAUUCGACGCAACGCGAAGAACCUUACCAAGGCUUGACAUAUAGGGAAAAGUGGCAGAGAUGUCA